GAAAAGAAAAGAAAAGAAAUAAAGAAGUAGUUGGCAUGUUCCUAAUUCAUAAAGAGCUGCAUGAAUGUUCUGUUAGGGCUGUGUGGAAAGGACCAUGGGUGGUUUUUUAAGUAGAUAGCACUUCUUUUAUCGGUCAGAGCUCUUCCUGAUGCCUUCAUGAUGAGUUGCCACCUCCAGGCAGAGGAAGUUCCACAUCAGAGUACUUAAUGGUGGUGUUAAACCUGUGAGACCUGCUGGCAAGGGACCUGCCUUACUGCCUGCAACUCUUGUCACCACUGUCUCCAAAGGACAGGAUAUAAGCUGGAUUCCCAAGCAGUUUGCUUAGGGAAGGAUCUGCAUUACUACUCACACGCACAAAAACCACAAGAACUCUACUAAACAGCAAUAUGUCUUUGGGAACCCAUUUUAACUUCCAUCAUGCCUAUGUCUGUGCUGCUGCCAGAGCUAUUGUUGACUCAAGGAACAGCUUUGUGGCUGUAUUUGCCUGUGCCCUGGUUUGUCCUUGGAAGACAGAGCAUAUGUAUGAAGCAAGCGUGUUGUAAUGGGACAUGUAGGUGCAGCUGUUACAAAGGUAAACAGAACACACCAGCUGUCCUCACAUGGUGCUUUUGCCCUUUUUGCCUUGUCC
rnacentral:lncRNA from 1 species